AACGAACGCUGGCGGCAUGCCUAACACAUGCAAGUCGAACGAGACCUUCGGGUCUAGUGGCGCACGGGUGCGUAACGCGUGGGAAUCUGCCCCUCGGUUCGGAACAACAGUUAGAAAUGACUGCUAAUACCGGAUAAUGACGAAAGUCCAAAGAUUUAUCGCCGAGGGAUGAGCCCGCGUAGGAUUAGCUUGUUGGUGGGGUAAUGGCCCACCAAGGCGACGAUCCUUAGCUGGUCUGAGAGGAUGAUCAGCCACACUGGGACUGAGACACGGCCCAGACUCCUACGGGAGGCAGCAGUGGGGAAUAUUGGACAAUGGGCGAAAGCCUGAUCCAGCAAUGCCGCGUGAGUGAUGAAGGCCUUAGGGUUGUAAAGCUCUUUUACCAGGGAUGAUAAUGACAGUACCUGAGAAUAAGCUCCGGCUAACUCCGUGCCAGCAGCCGCGGUAAU
rnacentral:rRNA from 1 species